UACGUAGGUGGCAAGCGUUACUCGGAAUCACUAGGCGUAAAGCGCAGGUAGGCGGUUUGGUAAGUCUUUUGUGAAAGCUCCUGGCUCAACUGGGAGAGGUCAAAGGAAACUGCCAGGCUAGAGUUUGGUAGGGGAUACUGGAAUUCCUGGUGUAGCGGUGAAAUGCGUAGAUAUCAGGAGGAAUACCUAUGGCGAAAGCAGGUAUCUGGGCCACAACUGACGCUGAGCUGCGAAAGCUAGGGGAGCAAACAGG
rnacentral:rRNA from 1 species